GGGGGUUAGCGUUGUUCGGAAUUACUGGGCGUAAAGCGCACGUAGGCGGACUGGAAAGUUGGGGGUGAAAUCCCGGGGCUCAACCUCGGAACUGCCUCCAAAACUAUCAGUCUAGAGUUCGAGAGAGGUGAGUGGAAUUCCAAGUGUAGAGGUGAAAUUCGUAGAUAUUUGGAGGAACACCAGUGGCGAAGGCGGCUCACUGGCUCGAUACUGACGCUGAGGUGCGAAAGUGUGGGGAGCAAACAGGAUUAGAUACCCUGGUAGUCCACACCGUAAACGAUGAAUGCCAGUCGUCGGGUAGCAUGCUAUUCGGUGACACACCUAACGGAUUAAGCAUUCCGCCUGGGGAGUACGGUCGCAAGAUUAAAACUCAAAGGAAUUGACGGGGGCCCGCACAAGCGGUGGAGUAUGUGGUUUAAUUCGAUGCAACGCGAAGAACCUUACCAGGGUUUGACAUCCUGCGAAUCUCUUGGAAACGAGAGAGUGCCUUCGGGAGCGCAGUGACAGGUGGUGCAUGGCU
rnacentral:rRNA from 1 species